GGGAUGUGAGGGCUAAGGAUCAGAGAUGAGGGUACUGAAGAUCUACUGGAAAUCAGCACGUCUGUGUCACGCAUUUAUUUCAGUAUUUACAUGAAAACGGUCAGACAUGCUCAUUGUUUAGAUGUGCAGCAGCCAAUCAAGUUAAAAUUACUGUGAAGAGCAGGAAAAGGAGGAGCUUUAAAGACUGUCAGUAUAUCACGGCAUCAAAUUUAAAGCUCUAACACAGUGGUUCCCAACUGGUGGGUCCCGACCCAAAAGUGGGUCACGGACACGUUCUGGAUGGGUCACGAACAUCUGGUCAAAAAAGUUAAUAUUUAAUGCAAUAUUUAUUAGAUAUUCAAUACUUUCUGUACAUGCAACUUCAGUAGUUGUCGUCCUUGUGUUGUCCCUUUCAUGUGCUCUGAAAUGCACUUUACUCAAUAAAAACGGUGUAUUUAUGUUAAAGAUUUUGAUAUUCUUGGUUUGAAUUUUAUAAAAGUGGUUCGCAACUGAAGGACCAUGAAAAAAUGUGGGUCCCAGAGUGAACGAAGUUGAGAACCACUGCUCUAACAGGUCUCUUGUUGAGGCAGGGCAUCAGUAUUCCCAUAACUUGACUCAGUCAUGUCCAAGUGUAACCACAAGAGGGCCUACUGCACAAAUCAAUGAGUUUCACUCCAAUAUGAAAGACCUGAGAAAUUUUAGAGUCCCACUAAAAGCCACGAGGUGUGAACAUAUUCAAUCCUGUGCAUUAAAGAUGCUCAGUUCGACGACACUGCAUGUUCAAGGAAACUAAUUCAGUGAGCUUUUGUCGAACCUGGAUUCAGCUUUUUAGUCUUUGGGCAUGUUUUGUUUGCACUGUUUCUUCCUGUCUUUCAAUAAAAUGGAUAAUAUGCUUGAGUCAAAAUGAAUUAAAGAGAAAUAAACCAUGAAAAAAUAGACAAGAUUGUCACUCUUUUUGCACACUUUGAAAUCUGAAAAACUGCUGCCUUGGCCUUUUAUAAGGUUUCCACUGAUGCCCAACAACGAGCUGCAGGUGUGAAUGUUCGCUCCUUGCAGGUGUGAAGCUCCUCAUCCCUGGCGCUGAUUUUUUGACGAGUUGCAGGUGGUGGAAACUUUGUACGACCACCAAAAAAAAAAGAACCAACUUGACACGAAACAACUUCAUUCAGAUAUCAAGGUCGGCCCUGUGUGCAGGAGAGACUUCACCGUAGUGCAGAUAUUUCAACUUUGGACUUUUGCAGGUGCAACACAAGCGAAUCCCUGACAGAUUUGAUAAAAAAAACCCAAAAUAUUCUUGAUGCACUCAAAAAAAGAUGCAUUUUUAAUCUUUUAUCAUAAAUUAGACUUAAUCUUUAUUUUAUUUUAUACAUAUUAUUGAAUCUAAUAUAAGAAUUUGCAUCCUACAACAGAAGCUAAGUGAAAAAAAAAAGUGGUUGCAGAUCUUUGUCAUGAUAAAAUUCAUUGUAUUUAUUUACAGUAUGAAUAUACAGUACACAUAUUAGUGCUUAUAUUAGACCGUAUGGGCACGUACGCAGCAGCCUGCAAGAGUCCAGAGGUCGGGACAGCAUUAGUAGCCAUUCAAGGCCUUUUCACUCCCUGGAGAGGUUUUUGUUCAGCCACAAUCCCUGGGACUUUCAACCCACAUAAAGGAAGUGCUGGCCUCAGCACAGCUUAACGGGCGAGGCCAUGAGGACACACACACACACACAUGCACACACGUACACACACACAAAGCCACCGGCUUUCAGGGGAAUAUUAAUAAGAGGACCUGAGAUAAUGUUGAAAUAAAUAAUCGAUGUAAUAAAAAAGUCAAAUUAAACUGAAGAUUUCUUGAUAUUGAUAAUGUAAUGAGGUUCAGACAGUUCAGUAUGAGCUGCUUGUUGGGUUUUCCUUUCAUAAAUUCAAAUGGGCCUCCAAAACGUCUGCCCAAUGUUACAUGGGUAAUUUGGGUCCUCUUAGACAGUCUGAUCCAGAUUUCCCACUCACAGUGCCACCUCAUUGCCUUGUUAGCUUGUCGUUGAUAUAGCCUAUGUCACAUAUAAUGUUAAGUUUGUGUUGCUCACUAUUUGACUGAGAUAAAACCAAAAACUAAAAUUUAACAGUGCUUGACUUGUCUGUUCAGGAGUUGCUUUCAGAGCGUCCCUCACAGCCCAGGAAAAAAAAGGCUGCAUUUUGAAAUGUACCACUUUAGAAGUCCACCGCCAUUUUUAACAGUAAGUUUCAGAUUCAACUAUAACUUAACUGUGUGUGUAGACAUACUGACUUUGAUGCAAACAGCUUUAAAGGGAUAGGAAAAAGCUUGUAUCAGCACUGUGAAUGCCAAAGUUUGUCAUCAGUGGAGUUCCACAGGGCUCAAUACUUGAGCCACUUAUCUUUGGUAUAUGUAUGGUAUGUACUGCUGAUAUCAUCAGAUAACAAACUUAAUUAAUCAAAUUUGUUUGUGUAAUGAAGUUAGAAGACACCUAUCAAAACUGGCACACAUGAGGAAUUUUGAUGUCCAGGGAUUUUCUGCCACUUAACAAAGACAUUUGAGAGAAGUGUCUUCUGCCGAUAUCCAUGCCUUAUACAUUUACUGCAUAACUGUGAGUAAGAAGGGGUUAGAUUUAAUAAGUUUUGUUCUUCCAAGGCACAGAAACAUCAAAUUUACUAUAACAUCUCAGACCCAUCUGCAAAAGAGGCCUGUUUUUGGCCUCCAAAAGUAGUGUGGGAAGCAGAUCAUUGAAUGACAUAGUCCAUAGAAAAGUUAAUGUUGGGCUAGUUUUGAUUUGUGUUGUGACUUGGAGUUAAAUAAGCUCAACUUGACUGAUUUAAUAGCUUAGACAGCCAUUUGAUAAGGGAGAAAAAUCAUGCCAGUGGACAAACAUAAAAAAAAAACAGCUCUUACUAGGACAGAAAACAGGUAUGGUACAAAAAGUUUAUUCAGUAACAGUUCUGUUAACAUCUGAGGUAAAUGAACAUUUACAUCAACAUGUUCUUUAACAAAACGUUCAGACGCAAGGCACUUCUUUUCAAAGACGAGUCAUUUCAAAACGGGAGUAAACAAAAGGGUUGUUCUUCAUCUUUUCAACGUGAGAGUCUGUAUUCCUGCUGAAAGGAGCGCCAUGAAAAUCCCGUCACACAACAAUCGGUUUUCUAUCCGUUUUGUUUCGAGGCACAUCCGCCAGAGUGUGAGCUGGAGUUGCCGUAAGUCUCUCAGUCCGGGUCCAGGACAAAAAAAAAAACAGUCACAUCGGAUUAAUUUCUUGUCCAUCCCAAGUCUAACUGGAUAAUGUUAUUUUCCAUAAAUAAACAAAAAUAUGUUAAUAUUCCUCAUCCAAGGACACCCUUUUCUUCUCUAUUAAUAAUAUCUUCAUAUCCUCAUAACAGUGGUCUACAACUAACCAAAUGUGCAAAUCUUUAUCUACAUACCAAAAGCACUAAUAACACUUUGAACAACAAGGUUAUGAAAAACAGUUUAUCCAUAAAAACAAGUAAAACAAACCUUGUUUGUCACAAUCUUUGGCCACAAAGUCCAACAUUGUGCCUCUUUUCAUGGGACUUGCCUUUCACUUGGAUUCGUGAAAGAGUUAAAUAGAAAUGAUCUUGUGGUUGGAGCGAUGGUUGUCAGGGUUGGGGGUAACGUUCCCAAGCAAAGCCCUCUAAAUAUGCACCAUGUGUUGUGAUAUCUUUGGCACAAAUAUCUUUGAUUUGCUGAGAAUCUUUGGUUGAAUUUCAUUCAUCACAGCUGAUCUCUAAAAAUAGAGUAAGCGCUACAGUUGCUAUAUUUUAAAUAAGUCAUUCAUUGGCACAUUGGUUUAGCAAGACACGUAAACAUUCGACACUGAGAAGGCAGCACUCAAGAGAACUUCUGCAAAAGCAACCAGUGUGUGUCACUUAAUGUUUCAUUUAGCUUGUGUAUAUCUACCUACGCUAGGUUACAAGUCAAGCUACAGCUACAGCUAAUUUACAGUAAAUCUGGUUCACCCUUAAAUCACAACUAAGCAUCCAAUAACGAAGGACUAAGAAGGUAAAACGACUACCAUACAGCUAUACAUACUUAAAACUGGCCCAACGGUGUAUGCACAUCUAAGAUACUCUUCAAAUUAAUACAGGCCUAAAAAACAAAUACAAAAAUCAAUGAUUGUACUCUGGACCUGUUUGUUGCUAAUCUUCUGGAAAAUGCUUCUAUGCAAAUUGUAUAUUUUGACUAGCUGUUGAUAAAUAGGUGACGCAUUUGCUCUUUUGGAUGGACUUUUGGCCUUUUUUAAACUGCAAUGAUCAUUGUUGAUGGGUAUGUUCUAUUAAGUGCUUGUGUCCUCUGGAGACUUCAAAUUCAGGCCGUUCACACCGACACUAAUUGAAACACGAAAAAAGCUGUUUGUUAGCUGAGAAGAUUCUACAACUGCCAAACCUGCAAAAUGAGCGAAGAUGCUUUGAUUUGAAGCUAUUAGCACAAAGCUAACUAGCCACUUUAGCCAUCAUUUGUAAGCUGUUUCUUAGUGCCAAUUUCUUAGGUCCCCUUGCUGAUACUAGAUAUAUACUUGCUCCUAGAAAUUACAAAAAAAGAUCAGCCCCACUCGAUUCUCACAGCCAAAAGAUGACUACACUUAACACCAACGGUCCUCAAUUUCCAGCAGACAAACACUAACACAUUAGCAACAUUCGCUAUACUUACGCUGGUUGUCAAACAUCCUUAAUGACAGAGUUUGAACUUUAAUCGUAACUGCUGUGGAUUCAGGUUUCAAGCAGCUUUCAAAGUCCAUCCAAGAGAGCAAAAGAGUGUUUUUUUUAUCAUGUUAAAAACCAUAUUUAAUGAUGUGCAGCGAUAAACAAGACUAACAUUUGAGCAUAUGUUCGCUGAUUAUUUUAUCGUUGAGUAGUCCAAAAACCUCCAGUGUAAGCUCUCUGACAGAGCAUGUAAGCGAACCUCCAUUUAAGAUUAAUAAUCUGGUGAUAGUAUCUUAAUGCUGCUUCAGGCACAUGUGAUCUGGCACUUGUAUUAUUCAAGUAACUUAAAAAAACGACAACCACUACUGUGCUAAGCUUUGAAAACAUUAACAGUGUUAGCUACCAACCAUUCUCCUCCGCCGACUCACUCUUAAGGUACUUUUUCUUUUCCUGACUGUUGUAUUGUCUUAAUUUGAUUUGUUUGUUUAGAGCAUUAGGGCAACAAAUCUGAACUUAUCUUUGCUGUUUUAUCUCCUUUUUGGCAGGAAUUAAAGACAAAAACAGGAAAACAUGAACAUUCUGGUUAAGUGACAGAUAUAUAAAAGUCAACACUUUUUUAGAUCAUGUUUCUCGUCUUUUCUCUAAAAAUCUAAAACCUACAGUUUCAUCUACAGCUACUCUAAAAAUUAACUUAGAGUCCUCCUAUACAUAACAGCCAGGAGGAGCUUCACAGUUCUGUAACACACUGCAAACACAAGCAUCAGAAAGAAGGUGUACUGGUUUUUAUACACGGUUCAACCUGCAAAACGUAAAAGUACGAAAUGGAGAACUUUUUAAAGAUUUGACGAUUCAGAAUCCUAAAAUUUCUUGACCCCCUAAGCCACCUGUGGGGCGAAUAUUGGUGGUAUUAAGGGUUUAAUGUGUCAGCACUUUUGAGUUUGCUUAUUGCAGCUUGAGCAUAAAGUCACUUUUUAAAUGUAGGUAGUUCUGUAUAACGUCCUAUCAAUACUGUAAAUCAUUCAAUAUAUACAUAUUUAUACGCUUUUUAUACUUUACCCUGAUGUAACUGCAGAGAUGUCAUUUUGUAAACAAUAAGACAAGAUUAAGGUGUCUAAACACACACACACACACACACACACACACACACACACACACACACACACACACACACACACACACAUAAACACACAGCCUGUGAAGCCUAAAGACUACGUCUCAGGGUGGGACUGCUUUAUAGCUCUCCUCCUGUCAUCUGCUUCGUCAUAUCGUCCCUCUCUUCAUUGAAACUACAGGCUGGACGCACACAAACAAAUGGGUUCAAAUCGACAAACGGCUCGAUCAUCACAUCACGAGAAAAAUAAAAAUAAAGAAAUAAAAGUGCAAACCUCUCCUC